rnacentral:tRNA from 1 species
UGGGGGUCUAGCUCAGUGGUAAAGUACUUGCCUAGCAUGCACAAGGCCUGGGUUCUAUCCCCAGCACACAA